rnacentral:miRNA from 1 species
UUCGAGACAGUUUUUGAGCAACU